CCGGGUGGCAUCCCUGGACCUGCCUAGGGCCUAAGAAAACUUGCCAACCUGAAGAGAAGGACACAGGGCUGGCUGGCUUUGCCACCUGCUGAUUGUAGAGGCUGGGGACUUUCAGCAAACACAGGGCUUUGAUGCAUCUCCCCUGAAUUUAGAAAAUAGGAUGCAUGUUCCCUCCGGGAUAGGGUCUAUGUAUAGCAUGGCAACUUAUACAGUUGUAUUUAGUACGGAUGGAGAUGGAAUUCUAACCAAGGGAACAUGAAGACGUGAACUAUAUUGAAGUCCCUAUGCAAAUCUUCAUAAUGCCCAGGGGACUCUAUCUCAACUUCAAGAUGCAAACCUUUACAAGCAUGCAGCUGU
rnacentral:lncRNA from 10 species